GAGCGAACGCUGGCGGCAGGCCUAAUACAUGCAAGUCGAGCGGUCCCUUCGGGGGCAGCGGCGGACGGGUGAGUAACGCGUGGGAACGUGCCCUUUGGUACGGAACAACUGAGGGAAACUUCAGCUAAUACCGUAUGUGCCCUUCGGGGGAAAGAUUUAUCGCCAUUGGAGCGGCCCGCGUUAGAUUAGCUAGUUGGUGGGGUAAAGGCCUACCAAGGCGACGAUCUAUAGCUGGUCUGAGAGGAUGAUCAGCCACACUGGGACUGAGACACGGCCCAGACUCCUACGGGAGGCAGCAGUAGGGAAUCUUGCGCAAUGGGCGAAAGCCUGACGCAGCCAUGCCGCGUGAAUGAUGAAGGUCUUAGGAUUGUAAAAUUCUUUCACCGGGGACGAUAAUGACGGUACCCGGAGAAGAAGCCCCGGCUAACUUCGU
rnacentral:rRNA from 1 species